UGGCCGCCACCCCAGGGGCAGGGGCCAAGCAAAUGAAAGGAGUACUGGCGACUAAAACUAGGCGGGGAACCCCUGAAUCUACAGACUGUUGUCUGCCGCUUUUCAGAGGCUCUUUGUUUUCAUUGCUCAUUGGCCGGUGUUUAAUACUGCAUGCUAACGCAAUUCCUUCUGGGGCGGGAGUACACGCAGGCAACGCCGCGGAAGGGACUGGAAACCACCUGUAAGGCCUGGGGGUGGGAUCUCCCCAGUACGGACCACUAACCUGUCACAAAGGAUGGGUCAAGCUGUCUGCUUUGGCGAGGGAAGAUGUCUACGGCAGAUAAAACGAAAACGGGGAGAAGGUCUACGUGCAGUAGCAGAGAACAGGGCCAACAUGCGGGGAGAAGCUGAGAAGUGACAGAGGGAACACCCUGGCCAUGUGAAGUCCCGUCCAGGCCCCCAAGGCCCCGCUUCCUCUCCGUCUGGGAACGUCCCCUUGUCCCUCCCUGCCCUGAGAACCAAUAAACCCCCUCCUUUGGCUUAA